rnacentral:rRNA from 1 species
AGGUUGAACGGCCACAUUGGGACUGAGACACGGCCCAGACUCCUACGGGAGGCAGCAGUGGGGAAUAUUGCACAAUGGGGGAAACCCUGAUGCAGCGACGCCGCGUGGAGGAAGAAGGUCUUCGGAUUGUAAACUCCUGUUGCUGAGGAAGAUAAUGACGGUACUCAACAAGGAAGUGACGGCUAACUACGUGCCAGCAGCCGCGG